UGGGGAAUAUUGCACAAUGGGCGCAAGCCUGAUGCAGCCAUGCCGCGUGUAUGAAGAAGGCCUUCGGGUUGUAAAGUACUUUCAGCGGGGAGGAAGGGAGUAAAGUUAAUACCUUUGCUCAUUGACGUUACCCGCAGAAGAAGCACCCGCUAACUCCGUGCCAGCAGCCGCGGUAAUACGGAGGGUGCAAGCGUUAAUCGGAAUUACUGGGCGUAAAGCGCACGCAGGCGGUUUGUUAAGUCAGAUGUGAAAUCCCCGGGCUCAACCUGGGAACUGCAUCUGAUACUGGCAAGCUUGAGUCUCGUAGAGGGGGGUAGAAUUCCAGGUGUAGCGGUGAAAUGCGUAGAGAUCUGGAGGAAUACCGGUGGCGAAGGCGGCCCCCUGGACGAAGACUGACGCUCAGGUGCGAAAGCGUGGGGAGCAAACAGG
rnacentral:rRNA from 1 species